GCCUCGUCCCCACCCUAUAGACGUGUCCCACCCUGCCUGAUCCGCUAUAUAAGGAGGUGUUGCUCUUGAUCAGAACAAACGUCUCUGUGCCAACCAACCAUGAGACUCACCACCUUCCUGCUUCUGCUGUGCCUGUGCUCUGCACUAAUGGCUUCUAAAUGUGCUCUUGCAGGUGCACCGUAUGAAGAAGAAUCUUUUGCCGGUCAUAAAGCUCAUCGCACGUUCUGACCCAAAAGGACCAUAUCAGACCAAUCAUUUCCACAAAAGAAGAAUUAAAAGAAUGUUCUUUAAAGUAAAAUAAAGAGAAUUG